UCAAAACCUCAACAUCUCCCCUAUUCAAUACUCUUCACGUUCCCCAUCAAAACCUCAACAUCUCCCCUAUUCAAUUAACCUCUUCAACAUCUUCCCUAAUCAAUAAAAUGCACAUUCCUAGGGAAAGAAUCCCUCAUGCGUGCGGCCCUGCACCUUCAAGAAGCCGGCAAAAUUCAAUUCGUCUUCUCCAUAUAAACCAUCUCCCAAUCAUAUUAUUCUUCAUCAUCUCCCAUAUUCAAUUAACCUCUUCAACAUCUAUUUCAAGCAUUCCUACACCCUUGCCACUUCCAUAGGAUUAGGGUUAGGAGAAUUUCACGUUCUCUUCUUCAGACUUCCUUCUCUCUCUCUCUAAAAAAAAACUCAAGAGCGACAAUCGGCUUUCAUCGUCUUUCUCAUGCGAGCUCUUUUCGUACCUUAUCCGAUUUGGUUCACCGAUGAUGAACACCGCCCUCUUUUGAUUUCUUCUUCUCACCAUGAAACGGUGGCCGAGAUCUUUUUGAAUCUUCAAAAUAGGGCCUAUUCUGAAAUUCUCUAUUGGGCUUUUGCAACCUCUGAUUUUCUGUUCUUAAUGAACCGUGAUUUUGUUAUGAUGUAACUACGAUGAAAAUCUUUUACCGAGCUUCUGAUAUAGUGAAGAUUUACCUUCUUUGAGUUGAUCUCUUCAUGUUGGUUCUUGCUUCACGAUGAUUGUCAAUGUUAGAUCUGAAGGGUUGUUGUUACUUUUAUUUGAAUAAGGGU